rnacentral:rRNA from 1 species
CCCGGGCCUUGUACACACCGCCCGUCACACCACGAGAGUUGGUAACACCCGAAGUCGGUGAGGUAACCUUUUAGGAGCCAGCCGCCGAAGGUGGGAUCAAUGAUUGGGGUG